AACGAACGCUGGCGGCGUGCCUAACACAUGCAAGUCGCGCGCGAAAGUCUUCGGAUGAGUAGAGCGGCGCACGGGUGAGUAACACGUGGGUAAUCUGCCCUUGGGUCUGGAAUAACUCGGCGAAAGCCGAGCUAAUACCGGAUAAAACUAGCUUACGAAAGUGAGUUAGGAAAAGCGGGGGACUUUCGGGCCUCGCGCUAUUAGAUGAGCCUAAGUCCGAUUAGCUAGUUGGUAGGGUAAUGGCCUACCAAGGCGACGAUCGGUAGCUGGUCUGAGAGGACGACCAGCCACACUGGGACUGAGACACGGCCCAGACUCCUACGGGAGGCAGCAGUGGGGAAUAUUGGACAAUGGGCGCAAGCCUGAUCCAGCGAUGCCGCGUGUGUGAAGAAGGCCUGCGGGUUGUAAAGCAACUUUCAGUAGGGAAGAAAGCCGAGUGCUAAUAUCACUCGGUCUUGACGUUACUUACAGAAGAAG
rnacentral:rRNA from 1 species